rnacentral:rRNA from 1 species
GAUGAACGCUAGCUACAGGCUUAACACAUGCAAGUCGAGGGGUAACGAGAGGAAAGCUUGCUUUCCUUGUCGACGACCGGCGCACGGGUGAGUAACGCGUAUCCAACCUGCCCCCAACUAGGGAAUAACCUUGCGAAAGUAAGACUAAUACCCUAUAAUUUCCUCAGAUGCCAUCUGACGAGGAAUAAAGAUUUAUCGGUUGGGGAUGGGGAUGCGUCUGAUUAGCUUGUUGGCGGGGUAACGGCCCACCAAGGCAACGAUCAGUAGGGGUUCUGAGAGGAAGGUCCCCCACAUUGGAACUGAGACACGGUCCAAAAUCCUACGGGAGGCAGCAGUGAGGAAUAUUGGUCAAUGGGCGGAAGCCUGAACCAGCCAAGUAGCGUGCAGGAUGACGGCCCUAUGGGUUGUAAACUGCUUUUAUACAGGAAUAAAGUUAGCCACGUGUGGUUAUUUGUAGGUACUGUAUGAAUAAGGACCGGCUAAUUCCGUGCCAGCAGCCGCCGUAA